rnacentral:rRNA from 1 species
UACGGGGGGAGCAAGCGUUGUUCGGAUUUACUGGGCGUAAAGAGCGCGCAGGCGGUCGUUCAAGUCGCGUGUGAAAGCCCCCGGCUCAACUGGGGAGGGUCACGCGAUACUGAUCGACUCGAAGGCAGGAGAGGGAAGUGGAAUUCCCGGUGUAGUGGUGAAAUGCGUAGAUAUCGGGAGGAACACCAGUGGCGAAGGCGGGUCUCUGGACAGUUCCUGACGCUGAGGCACGAAGGUCAGGGGAGCAAACGGG